rnacentral:lncRNA from 1 species
GCCCAUGAAAUGGUGACGUCAUACCAGCCCAUGAAAUGGUGACGUCAUACCAGCCCAUGAAAUGGCGACGUCAUACCAGCCCAUGAAAUGGUGACGUCAUACCAGCCCAUGAAAUGGUGAUGUCAUACCAGCCCAUGAAAUGGUGAUGUCAUACCAGCCCAUGAAAUGGCGACGUCAUACCAGCCCAUGAAAUGGUGACGUCAGCAAGGUCUGCACCAGCAUAUCUUUAACAGCCGACACAUGGUAGCAGUCAGCCAUUAUAUAAACUCUGAUCUCCAGUCAGAAUGAAUGAUGGUAACAGGUCUUUAUUUGUGUGUACACGUUUCUUUUGUGUUUAGUUGACAUUUUAUUUCCUGCUUUUGGUUGACAAUCAUUCACCUCCUUUCCCAGAAUACAUUAAGAUCUGUAAUGGCUACUUCCUUGGGUUCUUUUUCUUUUCCAGCAGUCAGAGUUAUUGAGUUCUUGUCUGAUAGGUUUGCCUUUUACCUGCUUCUUUAUUCCAGUUUUAUUGUACAUAUUUAUUCUCUAACAUGUUUCAUAUUAUACUUGCAUCUUGAAAUGGAAUAAAAACUUUAUACUCCAACUCUGUUUUUAUGUUUGUGAAAUGUAUCCGAGUUUAGUUGUUUUUCUGUUUGGUUAGCUGCAGGAAGAUGUCAGUUUGGUUGUUUUUCUGUUUGGUUAGCUGCAGGAAGAUGUCAGUUUGGUUGUUUUUCUGUUUGGUUAGCUGCAGGAAGAUGUCUGAGUUUGGUUGUUUUUCUGUUUGGUUAGCUGCAGAAAGAUGUCAGUUUGGUUGUUUUUCUGUUUGGUUAGCUGCAGGAAGAUGUCAGUUUGGUUGUUUGGUUGUUUUUCUGUUUGGUUAGCUGCAGGAAGAUGUCAGUUUGGUUGUUUUUCUGUUUGGUUAGCUGCAGGAAGAUGUCAGUUUGGUUGUUUUUCUGUUUGGUUAGCUGCAGAAAGAUGUCAGUUUGGUUGUUUUUCUGUUUGGUUAGCUGCAGGAAGAUGUCAGUUUGGUUGUUUUUCUGUUUGGUUAGCUGCAGGAAGAUGUCAGUUUGGUUGUUUUUCUGCUUGGUUAGCUGCAGGAAGAUGUCAGUUUGGUUGUUUUUCUGUUUGGUUAGCUGCAGGAAGAUGUCAGAGUUUGGUUGUUUUUCUGUUUGGUUAG